rnacentral:tRNA from 1 species
GGGCGGUUAGCUCAGUUUGGUUAGAGCACACGGUUGACAUCCGUGAGGUCGCAGGUUCGAGCCCUGUAUCGCCCA